rnacentral:rRNA from 1 species
CGCGCAGGUGGCAUGGCAAGUGGCAGGCGAAAGCCCUCGGCUCAACCGAGGAACUACCUGUCAGACUGCUGUGCUUGAGGCUGGGAGGGGAGAGCGGAAUUCCUGGUGUAGCGGUGAAAUGCGUAGAUACCAGGAGGAACACCGGUGGCGAAGGCGGCUCUCUGGACCAGCUCUGACGCUCAUGCGCGAAAGCGUGGGGAGCAAACA